UGCCAGCCGCCGCGGUAAGACGUAGGGGCCAAGCGUUGUCCGGAUUUAUUGGGCGUAAAGAGCUCGUAGGCGGUUGCGUAAGUCGGAUGUGAAAACUCGGGGCUCAACCCCGAGACGCCAUCCGAUACUGCGCUGACUUGAAUCCAGUAGGGGAGUGUGGAAUUCCUGGUGUAGCGGUGAAAUGCGCAGAUAUCAGGAGGAACACCCAUGGCGAAGGCAGCACUCUGGGCUGGUAUUGACGCUGAGGAGCGAAAGCAUGGGUAGCAAACAGGAUUAGAUA
rnacentral:rRNA from 1 species